rnacentral:piRNA from 1 species
UGUGCUCAUGGAAACCAUGUCUCUCAGGGA